UACGAAGGGGCUAGCGUUGCUCGGAAUUACUGGGCGUAAAGGGCGCGUAGGCGGAUAUUUAAGUUAGAGGUGAAAGCCCAGGGCUCAACCCUGGAAUAGCCUUUAAUACUGGAUAUCUUGAGUUCGGGAGAGGUGAGUGGAACUCCGAGUGUAGAGGUGAAAUUCGUAGAUAUUCGGAAGAACACCAGUGGCGAAGGCGACUCACUGGCCCGAUACUGACGCUGAGGCGCGAAAGCGUGGGGAGCAAACAGG
rnacentral:rRNA from 1 species